GCCUUGAUAGCUCAGUUGGGAGAGCGUUAGACUGAAGAUCUAAAGGUCACCAGUUCGAUCCUGGUUCAGGUCA
rnacentral:tRNA from 1 species